GUCUGGUGCCAGCAGCCGCGGUAAUUCCAGCUCCAAUAGCGUAUAUUAAAGUCGUUGCAGUUAAAAAGCUCGUAGUUGAAUUUCGAGAUCAGUACGCUGGUCGUGCCUUCGGUAUUCACUGGUGUCACUGGUUUCUCCCUUCUGAAGAACCGUCAUGUCAUUAAGUUGGUGUGGCGGGGAAUCAGGACUGUUACUUUGAAAAAAUUAGAGUGUUUAAAGCAGGCUCGCGCUUGAAUACAUUAGCAUGGAAUAAUGAAAUAGGACGUUUGACCCUAUUUUGUUGGUUUCUAGGAUCGACGUAAUGAUUAAUAGGGAUAGUUGGGGGCAUUAGUAUUCAAUUGUCAGAGGUGAAAUUCUUGGAUUUAUUGAAGACUAACUACUGCGAAAGCAUUUGCCAAGGAUGUUUUCAUUAAUCAAGAACGAAAGUUAGGGGAUCGAAGACGGUCAGAUACCGUCGUAGUCUUAACCAUAAACUAUGCCGACUAGGGAUCGGAUGAUGUUAAUUUUUUAAUGACUCAUUCGGCGCCUUACGGGAAA
rnacentral:rRNA from 1 species